CCUCAUUGUCAUGUGUUCCUUGAACACGUGACGAUGUGAAAUUUAAAUUUGUCAAAUCAUUAAAUGGCAUCAUGUGAUCUCUGUUUGUUUCACUUGUUGUCUGAGGUUGUUUUCCCCUUUCUUUUGAUUGUCUAUAAUUUGUUCGUCUUCUAGACAAUUCUUGUUCUCUUUGCUCGGUGCUUAUAUUUUGCCUCCGAUUUCUUGCAUUUUGAGUUCGUCUUUCCCUUUGCAGAUCCCUUGACUGUUGCCCGCGAUUAUUUUCCAUCUUAUUUUGAUG
rnacentral:lncRNA from 1 species